CCUUAUUCAGUGGGUUGGAGGUG
rnacentral:miRNA from 1 species